AAAUUUGUUUCAAAAGUAAAUAACUCAGAGUCGCCACCUGACUUUGAUUUCGGUGUGCCAGGUCAUUUUUUUUUUAAAUAUUUAUUUUUCCUUUUAAAACAUUUCAGACUCUAAAACCAAGUCCGCACUAGAGAUUCAGGUAAGGGGGUUCAUUUGCCUCGGGAAUAAGGUGUUAGGUAUUCCCCAAGUCCCGUGAAGUUUACGGUUGCGUACAUGAUCAAGUUGGCUAUUAAAAUAUUCGAUUGAGGUAAAAACAUAGAAAAGGAAAAUAAACACACAAGAGGCUCGAGGUCGUUCCCACCCAAUGAAAGAAAAAUAAAAAGUGAAAAAUAAAAAUAAAAAUACUUAGAGUUCUAAUUUCCGUCUCCAAUUACAAAUACUUCGGGGCAUACCCCAGAUAAUAAUAUAUACAAACUUCACAGGGCAUUCCUCGGAUAAAUUUAACUAAGGGACAACCUCUCACCUUCAAACUAACAAACUCCUAAGGCUUGCCUACCUGAGUGUUGUCGGCCUAAACAUGUUACUAGCGAUUAAAUUAGUAUCUAGUAAUAACAAAAUAACAAUAAAAACAUUCCAUCUUUUGCCUAACUCUCUUAAAACCGAUUUUUUCAAUUCUGUUCGAAUCAUCAUUGCCUAAUCCCAUUUAAUCAAUUAGCUCCCUACCCACAGUCCCUUUUCAACUUACACGUCAAUAAUAUUCACAAGAGAAAAUUCAUAAAUUGUCGUUAGUUAAAAGCUCAGUCAACGAUUAAAGCCAAAUGAGUCUAAAAAAAGAGAAAUCAAAAACUAAUCACAAAGCAACAUAUAUUGUCUUUAGUUAAAAGCUUAGUCAACGAUUAAAGCCAAAUGAGUCUAAAAAAAAGAAAUCAAAAACUAAUCACAAAGCAACAAUUAAAACAUAUUGUGCAAACAAAUGUAGGCUAGAACAUGAUAGCAAUUUGGAUUAAAGAAGAACAGAGGGAAGAAUGAACCUUACGCGGGACCGAACCUUGCAAGUUUAAACAGCAACAAUGUUGUUCUUGAAUGAAACAGGAAUUAAAAUUGGACAAUAGCACUUCAAAUCCACACCAGAAACGCGAAUCUGCCUGGAAACCUCGAACUCGACACCAACAUCGGACUAAAACACCAUGAGUUGAAAUUGAAAAUUGAAAUCGAAAGAGGAUAUUGAAACGUAAUAUUUAUUUUUGUAUUUUUUUUCUUUGAACCCAAACACCAACUGACUCAAAAAUAAGAAAACAUCAUCCUUUCAUUUGUUUGUGUUCAUUCUUGAAAUUCUGAAGAAAAGUGGAAGUAAAAUUAAAAGAGUAAUCAAAGACUGUCCAAAAUUCUUCUUCAUCUUUGUCAUUCUGUCCGUGAGUGUGUGUAUGGUCGUAGAUUAGAGGGAUUCCGGCGAGGGGGUUUGGCAUGUGUAAUGGGAGGUAGGUGAAGGAGAAGCGGUGAUGAGAGGUCACCGGUGGUCGCAGCGUGGAGUUCCGGCGAGCUGUUGCGGUUGUGGUUCAGCUAUUGGGUGGCACGGACAGAGAUCGAUAUAGAGUCGUUUGGUUGUUCUGCGUUGCUGAAGAAAUGUUUUGGUUGUUGGCUGAAGAAGGAAAACGAGGGGUUGUCCAUUUGGGUUGCUGCUUGGAUUGAAGUAGAGGAGGUCGGCGUCGCUAGUCGUUGGAGAAGGGAGGGCGACAGUCUUGGGGUGGUCCGGUGAAGGCUGUUUCGCUGGUGAGGGAGUUGGUGGUUCGCUGGACGUUAGGGACGAUGGAGGGUGCUCGACUGGCUAUGGAUGUUCGGCGGCUGGAGAGUGGUCGAGAAAGGUUUUCUGGGGUGGUUGGGAUGGUUAUGGUGGUUGGUGGUGGGGCGUGAUAGCGGUGGUCACUUGGACGAAGAUGAAGGUGGCGAUGGAGUCUCAAGGGUGUGGCGGCUUUGGGUCUUUUUGUCUAGGGUUUAGCCUUGUUGCCCCUCCAUUAUUGUCUUAGGUUCAAGAAGAAGAAGGGAGCUCUCUAGGGUUUUUUUUUAAAAAAAAAUCUGAUGGGUUAACUGGGAUUGGGAUAAAAGGUCAUGGGUCAAAAGGAAGGUUGGGACUUAAAAUUGGACUAAAGAAAAAAUAUCCAACCUUAGCUAAAUACCCUUUAAUCU
rnacentral:lncRNA from 1 species